UCCAGUGGUAGUCAGCUGUCCAGGACAUUGCUGUUCCUGUGAUAGUGUUACACUACUGGUAGAUUAAUAGACUAUCCUCUUGACCUGGUUGCCACCUUCACUGUUCUAGUGAUUCCUGGUAUCAGAACAGGCAAA
rnacentral:snoRNA from 1 species